rnacentral:rRNA from 1 species
CUUCCGUAGGUGAACCUGCGGAAGGAUCAUUACAGUAUUCUUUUGCCAGCGCUUAACUGCGCGGCGAAAAACCUUACACACAGUGUCUUUUUGAUACAGAACUCUUGCUUUGGUUUGGCCUAGAGAUAGGUUGGGCCAGAGGUUUAACAAAACACAAUUUAAUUAUUUUUACAGUUAGUCAAAUUUUGAAUUAAUCUUCAAAACUUUCAACAACGGAUCUCUUGGUUCUCGCAUCGAUGAAGAACGCAGCGAAAUGCGAUAAGUAAUAUGAAUUGCAGAUUUUCGUGAAUCAUCGAAUCUUUGAACGCACAUUGCGCCCUCUGGUAUUCCAGAGGGCAUGCCUGUUUGAGCGUCAUUUCUCUCUCAAACCCCCGGGUUUGGUAUUGAGUGAUACUCUUAGUCGGACUAGGCGUUUGCUUGAAAAGUAUUGGCAUGGGUAGUACUAGAUAGUGCUGUCGACCUCUCAAUGUAUUAGGUUUAUCCAACUCGUUGAAUGGUGUGGCGGGAUAUUUCUGGUAUUGUUGGCCCGGCCUUACAACAACCAAACAAGUUGACCUCAAAUCAGGUAGGAAUACCCGCUGAACUUAAGCAUAUCAAUAAGCGGAGGAAAGGAUCAUUACAGUAUUCUUUUGCCGCGCUAAACUGCGCGGCGAAAACUUACACACAGUGUCUUUUUGAUACAGAACUCUGCUUUGGUUUGGCCUAGAGAUGGUUGGGCCAGAGGUUUAACAAACAAAUUUAUUAUUUUACGUUGUCAAUUGAAUUAUCUUAAACUUCACACGACUUGGUUCUGCAC